rnacentral:rRNA from 1 species
AACGAACGCUGGCGGCAUGCCUAACACAUGCAAGUCGAACGAGACCUUCGGGUCUAGUGGCGCACGGGUGCGUAACGCGUGGGAACCUGCCUUUAGGUUCGGAAUAACUCAGAGAAAUUUGAGCUAAUACCGGAUGAUGUCUUCGGACCAAAGAUUUAUCGCCUUUAGAUGGGCCCGCGUUGGAUUAGCUAGUUGGUGGGGUAAAGGCCUACCAAGGCGACGAUCCAUAGCUGGUCUGAGAGGAUGAUCAGCCACACUGGGACUGAGACACGGCCCAGACUCCUACGGGAGGCAGCAGUGGGGAAUAUUGGACAAUGGGCGAAAGCCUGAUCCAGCAAUGCCGCGGGGGUGAUGAAGGCCUUAGGGUUGUAAAGCUCUUUUACCCGAGAUGAUAAUGACAGUAUCGGGAGAAUAAGCUCCGGCUAACUCCGU